GUUUUUCUCUUUUUUGUACUGGGGAUUGAAACCAAGGGGCACUUUACCACUAAGCCACAUCUCCAUCCCUUUUUAUUUUUUAUAUUGAGACAGGGUAUCACUAAGUUGCUAAGGGCCUCACUAAGUUGCUAAGGCUGGCCUUGAACUUGUGAUCCUCCUGCCUUAGCCUCCCAAGUUGCUGGGAUUACAGGCAUGUGCCACUGUCCCUGACCUCAAUCAACCAUAUGUCUAUGGAGAGCCUACCCGAUGCCCUGUGCCCAUGGGUCCUGCACCAGGGGUAGGGAUGGGAUGGUGAAUGUGGAGGAUGGUCCCUGAUGUAAAACUCAGAGCCAGAUGAGUCUGUCAUGAGCUUUCUCAACUAGAGUUCCAAAGGCAACACAAAAUAAGGUCCAAAACAAUGCUGGGUUUUCACAUUCCACUUGCCUUUUCUGGGUCCUCUCCAUUUAGUAACUAACCCACCAUAUUCAAGCUAGUGACAAUGGCCAUCCUGAUUUCUUGCUCUGUCAUCCACAUCCAAUCCCACAGGGCCUGUGGGCUCUGCCUCCACCAUACAUCUUAGCUCCACCCACCAGAAUCAUCUCUCUGUGAACUGGGAUCUCCCAGGUUUCAUCUCUGCCCCCAGGUCCAUCUCCUUUUUUCUUUUUUCUUUAAUUUAUUUUUAGGUGUAGAUGGACACAACACAAUGCCUUUAUUUUUAUGUGGUGCUGAGGAUUGAACUCGGGUCCCGCCUGUGCUAGGCAAGCGCUCUACUGCUGAGCCACAAUCCCAGCCCCCAGGUCCAUCUUCUGAGUAGUAGUUAGAGCAGUUUUUUUAAAAGUAAAUCACAUAAUUCCUCUGCUGACUUGCUCAUUGUCUUCC
rnacentral:lncRNA from 1 species